CCCGGGUUGUCGCAUCCGCUCGUGUGCAGAUAGAGAACUGCAUGGCAACGGAAGGACGCUUGGAGAUAGAAUGAGGGGAGGGUACUAUGGUCCCACGUGUCCUCAUCACCGCAGACCCAACGCAAUUCUGUUCAUUUUCUAUCUACCAUUUCCACAUACCGCAGAUUCGCAUACACUCAUGCAUACAUACAGCUUACACACGCACAAUCAUGUAGGAUGUAUGCAUACGUGCACUCAAAUCUCCCCAUUUGACCUAUUCUACAUAAUCUAGGCUAAUUUGCCAAUUCCAAUAUUGAUCGGCUCUGGCAUAGGCUAUUAGGCCUGCUUCUUUUUUCAUUUGGUGAUAGGCUAUUUAAUUCAAUUGCCUGAUAUCGGUGAGACUGUAUGCUACGAGUUGAAUGGGGAGAUGAGAGGACGGGCGUCAGCUGUCAACCAGAUUCAUUCGGUGUUUUUUCUCUCUCGCCAUAAUCGUUUGAGCGUCGGUUUUCUUUUUAUCUGCGCCUGUUACAUUGUAACGCACUCGAUGUUAAUUCGGGGGAAUAUGUGAACAUCAUGCUGGCGGUGUGGUGCUUGGUCUUUGCUGCAGUGGGCGAGAGGCUUGCCGUGUCAGGCGACGGCAGGUCGACUUUGCUGCGGGAUGCGAGUUUGUGGGAUUGGUUCUCGCCAGAGGAGCGGGGAGACAGCAGCGACAUUGCGGUCGAAGUCGCCUAUCCAAAGCGGCUGGUGCAGCAGAUGGAGUCGGAGGAAGAAAUGUCCCACGGCUAUUUGGAUACUCGCAUGAAGAAUACCACGGGAGGUACCCCCCCAGUCCAUUUGGCCCAGAGUUGUUUCCAGGUGGAAACCUUCGGACACACCUUCACCCUGGACCUGGAGUUAAACCAGUGAGUACAUUUGAUUUGUCAACUUGAUUGACGUAUUCGCCACACCCCAUUUCCAUCAGUCCGUAUUUUCUUAACCGCCACAAUCAUCAACGUUGGCAUUUCCAUAACCGCUACCGUUAGCAAAUACACUUUUCUCCUUCCAUGUAUGACACAUGAUCAAAUGCUUAGUGGAGCGUCAGGGACACAGAGACCCCGAGAGCUCCUUCAAUACAGCUACCCACUGUAGAGAGAGAGAGAAGAGAGAGAGACGGGAGACAGAAAGAGAGAAAGAGGGGGAGGGGGGGACAGAAGAGAGAGAGAGGAGAACGGAGACAGAAGAGAGAAAGAGGGGGGAUGGGGGGACAGAGAGAGAAAAAGGAGACAGGAGACAGAAAAGGAAAGAGGGGAUGGGGGGAAGCAAGAGAGGAGACAGGAGACAGAAAGAGAAGAGGGGGAAUGGGAA
rnacentral:lncRNA from 1 species